rnacentral:rRNA from 1 species
GACGAACGCUGGCGGCGUGCUUAACACAUGCAAGUCGAACGGUAAGGCCCUGCUCUUGCGGGGUGCUCGAGUGGCGAACGGGUGAGUAACACGUGUGUAACCUGUCCUUGACUUCGGGAUAACUUCAGGAAACUGGGGCUCAUAUCGGACAGGAGCUCCUGCUGCAUGGUGGGGUUUGGUAAGUUUCGGCGGUUGAGGAUGGACUCGUGGCUUAUCAGCUUGUUGGUGGGGUAGUGGCUUACCAAGGCUUUGACGGGUAGCCGGCCUGGGAGGGUGACCGGCCACAUUGGGACUGAGAUACGACCCAGACGCCUACGGGAGGAAGCGGUGCGAAAUAUUGCAAGAUGGGCGGAGGCAGGAUGCAGCAACGCCGGAUGCUGGAUGACGGCCUUCGGGUUGUAAACCGCUUUCGCGUGUGACGAAGCGUGAGUGACGGUAGUGGAUAAAGAAGCGCCGGCUAACUACGUG